ACGAACGCUGGCGGUGUGCUUAAUACAUGCAAGUCGAACGAGGUCUUCGGAUCUAGUGGCGGACGGCUGAGUAACGCGUAGGUAACGUACCUUUUACUGGGGGAUAACAUCGGGAAACCGGUGCUAAUACCGCACAAGUCGAGUGCUGAGAUGUAUUCGAUCAAAGAUUUAUCGGUAAGAGAUCGGCCUGCGUCUGAUUAGCUAGUUGGUAGGGUAAAGGCCUACCAAGGCGAUGAUCAGUAGUUGGUCUGAGAGGAUGACCAGCCAGAGUGGGACUGAGAACGGCCCACACUUCUACGGAAGGCAGCAGUAGGGAAUUUUGCGCAAUGGGCGAAAGCCUGACGCAGCAACACCGCGUGCGGGAUGAAGGCUUUAGGGUUGUAAACCGCUGUCGGCAGGGAAUAAAUUGACUGUACCUGCAAAGGAAGCACCGGCUAACUACGUGCCAGCAGCCGCGGUAAGACGUAGGGUGCAAGCGUUGUCCGGAUUUAUUGGGCGUAAAGAGUUCGUAGGCGGUUACCUAAGUCUGAUGUUAAAUCCCGGAGCUCAACUUCGGUAUGGCAUUGGAAACUGGGUGGCUGGAGUAUGGUAGAGGUUACGGGAAUUCCUGGUGUAGCGGUGAAAUGCGUAGAUAUCAGGAGGAACACCGGUGGCGAAAGCGCGUAACUGGACCAUAACUGACGCUGAGGAACGAAAGCCAGGGUAGCAAAAAGGAUUAGAUACCCUUGUAGUCCUGGCCGUAAACGAUGGAUACUAGGUGUUGGUGGAUUCGACCCCAUCAGUGCCGUAGCUAACGCGAUAAGUAUCCCGCCUGGGGAGUACGACCGCAAGGUUGAAACUCAAAUGAAUUGACGGGGGCCCGCACAAGCGGUGGAACAUGUGGUUUAAUUCGAUGCAACGCGAAGAACCUUACCUGGGCUUGACAUCUUUGGAACCUCUAUGAAAGUAGGGGGUGCCUUCGGGAGCCAAAAGACAGGUGGUGCACGGUUGUCGUCAGCUCGUGUCGUGAGAUGUUGGGUUAAGUCCCGCAACGAGCGCAACCCUCGUGGUCUGUUAAGGUAAGAUGCUACGAAGGCACUCUAGGCAGACUGCCGGUGACAAACCGGAGGAAGGUGGGGAUGACGUCAAGUCCUCAUGCCCUUAUGUCAGGGCUACACACGUCGUACAAUGGGCCGGGACAAUAGGGCUUAGCACCCGCAAUGUUGAGCCAAUCCUCAAAACCGCCCUCAGUUCCGGAUCGGAGUCUGCAACUCGACUGCGUGAAGUCGGAAUCGCUAGUAAUCGCAGAUCAGCACUUGCCGCGUGAAUACGUUCCCGGGUCCUUGUAGCACACCGCCCGUCACACCACUGGAAGCGGGUUCUGCCAGAAGUAGUUAGCCUAACCGCAAGGAGGGCGAUUACCACGGCAGGGUUCGUGACUGGGGUG
rnacentral:rRNA from 1 species